rnacentral:rRNA from 1 species
GACAUCACUUCACGUGAG